rnacentral:rRNA from 1 species
UUGAUGGCGCUAUCAUGCAGUCGGACGGGAUUUGGGAGCUUGCUCCUGAUGAGAGUGGCGCACGGGUGCGUAACACGUAUGUAACCUACCUUAAUCUGGGGGAUAGCCUCUCGAAAGAGAGAUUAACACCGCAUAACAUCAUCGGACAGCAUUUUUUGAUGAUCAAAUAUUUAUAGGAUUAAGAUGGGCAUGCGGAACAUUAGCUAGUUGGUAAGGUAAUGGCUUACCAAGGCUACGAUGUUUAGGGGAUCUGAGAGGAUGACCCCCCACACUGGUACUGAGACACGGACCACACUCCUACGGGAGGCAGCAGUAAGGAAUAUUGGUCAAUGGGCGCAAGCCUGAACCAGCCAUGCCGCGUGCAGGAAGACGGCCCUACGGGUUGUAAACUGCUUUUGUACCGGAAUAAACCCUUUUACGAGUAAGAGGCUGAAUGUACGGUAAGAAUAAGGAUCGGCUAACUCCGUGCCAGCAGCCGCGGUAAUACGGAGGAUCCAAGCGUUAUCCGGAUUUAUUGGGUUUAAAGGGUGCGUAGGCGGCCUAUUAAGUCAGGGGUGAAAGACGGUAGCUUAACUAUCGCAGUGCCUUUGAUACUGAUGGGCUUGAAUACACUUGAGGUAGGCGGAAUGUGACAAGUAGCGGUGAAAUGCAUAGAUAUGUCACAGAACACCAAUUGCGAAGGCAGCUUACUAAAGUGUGAUUGACGCUGAGGCACGAAAGCGUGGGGAUCAAACAGGAUUAGAUACCCUGGUAGUCCACGCCCUAAACGAUGAACACUCGAUGUUGGCGAUAUACGGUCAGCGUCUAAGCGAAAGCGUUAAGUGUUCCACCUGGGGAGUACGCCCGCAAGGGUGAAA